AGCAAUAAAAACAACAAAAAGAUAAAAGUGAUAUAUAUAUCUAAUCUAACCCCAUUUCCCCAAACUUAUUACAAAACACAUGUUCGAAAAUAAGUUUUGAGGGAUGAAGAUAUUUGUGUCACUACUCAUAGUAAAAACAUGCUCCAAGGUGGUGGUGUGGACGAGACUCAAAAUGUACAUUUUUCAAGUUCUGAUGCGAUCUUCUCCCUAAGAAAAACAAAACAAAGAAAAAAAAAAGGAAAAAGAAAAUAAAAGCAAGAAAACGGUUGGGUUACCUCCCAACAAGUGCUUAAUUUAACGUCUAGAGCUCGAUGAUACCUCAUGAUUCAUCCUAUUGCCACACGGUGGAAAGUAAAGAGAUAAAUCAAAAUUAUGGAAACAUUCAAUCCCAUAACACCUCUGAAAAUGGAAGCCAACUAAUCG
rnacentral:lncRNA from 1 species